GAUGAACGCUGGCGGCGUGCCUAAUACAUGCAAGUCGAGCGAACAGACGAGGAGCUUGCUCCUCUGACGUUAGCGGCGGACGGGUGAGUAACACGUGGAUAACCUACCUAUAAGACUGGGAUAACUUCGGGAAACCGGAGCUAAUACCGGAUAAUAUAUUGAACCGCAUGGUUCAAUAGUGAAAGACGGUUUUGCUGUCACUUAUAGAUGGAUCCGCGCCGCAUUAGCUAGUUGGUAAGGUAACGGCUUACCAAGGCAACGAUGCGUAGCCGACCUGAGAGGGUGAUCGGCCACACUGGAACUGAGACACGGUCCAGACUCCUACGGGAGGCAGCAGUAAGGAAUCUUCCGCAAUGGGCGAAAGCUUGACGGAGCAACGCCGCGUGAGUGAUGAAGGUCUUCGGAUCGUAAAACUCUGUUAUUAGGGAAGAACAAAUGUGUAAGUAACUAUGCACGUCUUGACGGUACCUAAUCAGAAAGCCACGGCUAACUACGUG
rnacentral:rRNA from 1 species